UAGCCAAUGAUGAUAUCAGUCAUCAAAUACCAUCUUUCGGGACUGAAUGGCUUCUUUUGCCUUGCUGUUAUUAUUCUGCAAUUCUGAGACUU
rfam:Glycine soja cultivar W05 scaffold777_10, whole genome shotgun sequence.